GUAGGUGGCAAGCGUUGUCCGGAAUUAUUGGGCGUAAAGCGCGCGCAGGCGGUUCUUUAAGUCAGAUGUGAAAGCCCACGGCUCAACCGUGGAGGGUCAUUGGAAACUGGAGAACUUGAGUACAGAAGAGGAAAGCGGAAUUCCACGUGUAGCGGUGAAAUGCGUAGAGAUGUGGAGGAACACCAGUGGCGAAGGCGGCUUUCUGGUCUGUAACUGACGCUGAGGCGCGAAAGCGUGGGGAGCAAACAGGAUUAGAUACCCUGGUAGUCCACGCCGUAAACGAUGAGUGCUAAGUGUUAGGGGGUUUCCGCCCCCCUUAGUGCUGCAGCUAACGCAUUAAGCACUCCGCCUGGGAGUACGGCCGCAAGGCUG
rnacentral:rRNA from 1 species